GACAGAGGGUGCGAACGUUGCUCGGAAUUACUGGGCGUAAAGCGCGUGUAGGCGGAUGGUCAAGUCAGGCGUGAAAGCCCUGGGCUCAACCUAGGAACUGCGUCUGAAACUGGCCAUCUUGAGUGUCGGAGAGGGAAGCGGAAUUCCUGGUGUAGAGGUGAAAUUCGUAGAUAUCAGGAGGAACACCGGUGGCGAAGGCGGCUUCCUGGACGAUUACUGACGCUGAGACGCGAAAGCGUGGGGAGCAAACAGG
rnacentral:rRNA from 1 species